rnacentral:lncRNA from 1 species
CCGGGAUGGAGAAAUUCUAUGUACACCCCUGUUGUGUGCAAAAACUGACGUGGAGCAUACUGUCUCAUUCGAUUGAAUCACAUAAGCAUUACUUCUCAAUAUAUAUUUAAUAUUUAUUUAAUAUCUAUAAUUUUAUUUUUUAUUUAAAAUUUUAAAUGAUGAAAAUAUUUUUUUUUCGAAAAAAUUAUGACAUUCUGUAUCGAUAUUAUGGCAUUCUGUGUUGAAAUUAUGAUUUUUCUACACAGGAUGUCAUAAUUUUUUCACAGGAUAUUAUAAAAAGAG